AAAAAUUUGACUUCCUUGUUUCUGCAGGGUUUUUGAGUCAUAGUUAUUUUUGUUUUUGUGAUACUGGAGAUUGAACUCAGUGCUUUGUCCAUGCUAGGCAAAUGUUAUAUAAAUGAACUCCAUCCCCAACCCUCUUUCUUUCCUAUUCCCUCUUCCUUUUCAUUCCUCUUCCUUUUUUUUUUUUUGGUUUGUUGUUUUUGGUUUGUUUGUUUUUUGAAAAUUUGAGACAAGGUGUCUCUAAGUUGCCCAGGAUGACCUUUAACUUGCAAUCUUUCUCCCUCAGCCUUUCCAGUUGCUGGGAUUACAGGUGUGCACCACCCUGCCUAACUUCAAGUCAAUAGUUAUUGGUAUCCCCAUUCUACGGUUAUAAAAGGUACCAGCCAUGUUUUCUUGUCAUACUUGUGAAGUUUCUUUUUUGUAUUUUUAUUGUUAUAUGAGGUCUCUUGAUUUGUCAGAAAUUUAGUCUGAUUUACACUACCAGGAAUAAAUUUAAUUUUACUUUUUUUUCCCCCCAAAGGUUACUUAGUCCUUCUUUUCCAAAAUGGUUUCAGUACAGUGACUCUUGCAAAGAAAGGUGGUUAGGGCAGAAUGAGGGUAGUUUGUCAUCUGUGAGGUAUACUAGAAAAUUAUCAGUGUUCAGAAUACAUAGAGGAUAAUGGAGAAGCCCAACUGAUGCGUUAAAGGGUAUCCAGAAAUUCACUGUGAAGAUUAAACACUGGUAAUGCACAAUUACCCCAAACUUGAGAAGGCAGUUUGGGCCUAAGGAAAAAGGAAUGAAUUAUACUUUUCUAUAAAUGUAUGACCCGAACCAGUGAUGGGGUCAGCAAUUCAUCAGAUAACCUCUAAAUGAUAUUUUUCUCAGUGUACAUAUCACUUUGGAAAAGAAAUCUAGGGGCUGGGGUUGCAGCUCAGAAAUAGGGCACUUUCCUUAAAUAUGUGAGGCACU
rnacentral:lncRNA from 1 species